rnacentral:rRNA from 1 species
GAUGAAUGCUGGCGGCGUGCCUAAUACAUGCAAGUCGAGCGAACAGACGAGGAGCUUGCUCCUCUGACGUUAGCGGCGGACGGGUGAGUAACACGUGGAUAACCUACCUAUAAGACUGGGAUAACUUCGGGAAACCGGAGCUAAUACCGGAUAAUAUAUUGAACCGCAUGGUUCAAUAGUGAAAGACGGUUUUGCUGUCACUUAUAGAUGGAUCCGCGCCGCAUUAGCUAGUUGGUAAGGUAACGGCUUACCAAGGCGACGAUGCGUAGCCGACCUGAGAGGGUGAUCGGCCACACUGGAACUGAGACACGGUCCAGACUCCUACGGGAGGCAGCAGUAGGGAAUCUUCCGCAAUGGGCGAAAGCCUGACGGAGCAACGCCGCGUGAGUGAUGAAGGUCUUCGGAUCGUAAAACUCUGUUAUUAGGGAAGGACAAAUGUGUAAGUAACUAUGCACGUCUUGACGGUACCUAAUCAGAAAGCCACGGCUAACUACGUG